ensembl:lncRNA
GGUCUUGAGAAGAGCUCUAAAAAACAUCUCAGGCCAUCUGGCCUAUUUUUUUCACAUGUGUGACUCCUACAAGAAAGUGUGGUCAGAGAAGAUAUAUAGAAGCUCCCAGGUGUCUUCCUUAAAAGACAGCAGAGGCUUGCUCUGUGCACCUCGCAGGUCCACCCCUCCUUCAUUGUCUGGCCAUGUUCUGAACAAGAGGCAGAUGGCUGUACUUUAAGGCCAGCUAGAAGAAACCCCAAAAUACCCAGGCCAGGAUUCAGGCAGAUAACUGGUUUGACUCUAAGUCCAUGCUCUUUCCACUGAGCCAUUUUUUCAAGGCCUUAUUCACAAAAGUUUACUCAGUAAAAGACAUAAGACACGUGUGUAAAGAACAGAAUGAAGUCUGAGCAAGGUUGACCAUGGACCACAUUUUGAGAAACGUUUGGUUGGGCAAUAACAUUGGACAAAUAAGUGGAAGGAAAGACAAAGAAAGAGGAAAAAAAUACAGGCUAUGAAGAACACAGUGGCUGGGUGAUGAUCAGGAACCACAGAGAAGAUGACUUAUCCCUGAACUUUCCAGGCCUUGAACUUGAGAAAGAUUGGCAGUGAUAGCAGGAGUGGAAUAAGAAUAUUGAAAAGGCCGGGAAGAAAUGGCAUUCCCACGGUCAGUAUUGGCAGCACUUCACCCGGAAGACCGGCAUGGGGAAUUUCCUGUCUGGAUGUGGAGAAUCUGCCCAGCGGGUGGCUCUGGACAAUGGGGAAGUAGGGAGGACUCUGCGGGGCACAGCAAUCAUGGAAACAGUGGUCUGUAACACAACUUUUCGUCCAGUCUAACCCCCAUGAACCCUGUAGGUAUGAAAGCACUGGUUUGGAAAGAGCAGAAAGGUGAGCAAGUUUGGAGACAUUCUGACAGGGUUACAUAGGGGAACAUUUGUUCUUCUACACUUCACAUUGUUUCCUAUGCAUAAUCUUACCCCUUAAAUCAGGGUCAAGAAAAUGACCCUAGCCUCCUUUUAAAAAGGAAAGGUUAUAUAAGCUAUCAGCUCUAGAAUCUGCCACCUUAGGACUGAUGACUACAAAUAAAGAAUUUCUUAUGAAAUUCAAAUGGAAGUUGCCAGUGAACUUUCCUUUUCAAAAGAAGCAUUGACUUUUCCUAGGAUAUUUUCUGUUCCUCUAUUGCUGUGACUCUGGGUGCCUUCCUAUCCCACUGCCUUGCUGUCUGUAUUAGUUUCCCAUGGCUUCCAUAACAUACUGCUACAAGCUAAGUGGCUCAAAAUAACACAGAUCUAUUAUUUUGUGGUUCUGGAGUUCAGAAGUCCAGCAUGGAUCUCACUGGGCUGAAAUCACAGUGUCGAAAGUGCUAUAUUCCUUCUAGAAGAUCUAUGGAAGAAUCUGGUUUUUUGCCUUUUCCCCGUUCCAGAGGACACUUGUUUUCUUGGGUUCAAGCUCCCUUUUAUAUUCAAAGCCAGCAGUGGCCUGUUGAGCCUUUCUCAUUUGGCAUCACUCUGACAUUGGCUCUUCUGCCUACCUAUUCUAUCUUUUAGGAACCACUGUGAGUACAUUGAGCCCACACAGACAAUCUAGGAUAAUAUGCCUAUUUUAAGGGCACCUGAUCAGCCACCUAACUUCCAUAUGUAGAUCUUAACCUCCCCCUUGCCAUGCAACAUAAUGUAUCCACGUAGCUUCUGAGGAUUAAGAUGUAGACGUGUUUGGAGGAGCCAUGACUCUACCACAGCUUCUCUAUCUGAUCACCUUUGUGGCUCUGGGUUAGCAGCUCAUGGAGGGCACAUGUAGUGCCAACAAGUGUCCACAAAUAUUAUAUAUAUACUUGCCAUCAGGAUUGAAUUCAUGCUCAUUUGUAUAUCUCUUAGCUAUGUUGCUUAAACUCCCUCCAAGAGAAACAAAUAUUACAUAUAUACUUGCCAUCAGGAUUGAAUUCAUGCACAUUUGUAUAUCUCUUAGCUAUGUUGCUUAAACUCCCUCCAAGAGAAACAAAUAUUACAUAUAUGCUUGUGUAAACAAAAUAGAAAUGGGGCAUGGGGUAGGGAUGAAUCAGAAGUUUGGGAUUAACGUAUACACACUGCUAUAUACAAAACAGAUAAACAAUGAGGGCCUACUGUACAGCCUGGGGAACUGUAUUCAGUAUCUUGUGAUAACCUAAAAUGGAAAAGAACCUGAAAAAGAAUAGAUUUAAAUAUAUAUAUGUAACUGAGUCACUUUUCUGUACACCUGAAACAAGCAACAUUGUGAAUCAAUGAUCCUUCGAUUAAAAAAUACAGGGAAAAGAUAAAUGGAAAUAUAUAUAUA